CCUACGGGGGGCAGCAGUGAGGAAUAUUGGUCAAUGGGCGUAAGCCUGAACCAGCCAAGUCGCGUGAGGGAUGAAGGUUCUAUGGAUCGUAAACUUCUUUUAUAAGGGAAUAAAGUGCGGGACGUGUCCCGUUUUGUAUGUACCUUAUGAAUAAGGAUCGGCUAACUCCGUGCCAGCAGCCGCGGUAUUACGGAGGGUCCGAGCGUUAUCCGGAUUUAUUGGGUUUAAAGGGUGCGUAGGCGGCCUUUUAAGUCAGCGGUGAAAGUCUGUGGCUCAACCAUGGAAUUGCGGUUGAAACUGGGAGGCUUGAGUGUGUUGAAGGCAGGCGGAAUGCGUGGUGUAGCGGUGAAAUGCUUAGAUAUCACGCAGAACCCCGAUUGCGAAGGCAGCAUGCCAAGGCGUGACUGACGCUGAUGCACGAAGGCGUGGGGAUCAAACAGGAUUAGAUACCCCUGUAGUC
rnacentral:rRNA from 1 species